UCAUGGCUCAGGAUGAACGCUAGCUACAGGCUUAACACAUGCAAGUCGAGGGGCAGCGAGAGUGUAGCAAUACACUGUCGGCGACCGGCGCACGGGUGAGUAACGCGUAUCCAACCUGGCCCUUAGUAGGGGAUAGCCCGGCGAAAGUCGGAUUAAUACCCUAUGUUCUCCUUUGAGAGCAUUUGAUGAGGAGCAAAGAUUUAUCGCUAGGGGAUGGGGAUGCGUCCGAUUAGGCAGCAGGCGGGGUGACGGCCCACCUGGCCGACGAUCGGUAGGGGUUCUGAGAGGAAGGUCCCCCACACUGGUACUGAGACACGGACCAGACUCCUACGGGAGGCAGCAGUGAGGAAUAUUGGUCAAUGGGCGCGAGCCUGAAACCCAGCCAAGUAGCGUGAGGGACGACGGCCCUACGGGUUGUAAACCUCUUUUGCCGGGGAAUAAAGUGCGCCACGCGUGGCGUUUUGUAUGUACCCGGAGAAUAAGGACCGGCUAAUUCCGUGCCAGCCGCGGC
rnacentral:rRNA from 1 species